rfam:Dipodomys ordii contig_33364, whole genome shotgun sequence.
GGGAAGGUGGUUCAGUGGUAGAGUGCUUGCUUCACAGGCAUGAGGCCCUGGGUUCGAUUCCUCAGCUCCA